rnacentral:lncRNA from 1 species
UGUUGACUUGCCUUGUGUGCAUAUUGGUUGUAACACUGUUGACUGUCUGUUUGAUUUAUCUGAAUGUGAAUAUUGACUGGUUUGAGUACGACGGACGUGAGGGGUGCUAAUACCUUCCCCUUGCGUAACUGACUCCCGAUCCUUGCAAUCUCUGGUCGUAAGACCAUUUCCUUUCCAGGUUUACUUCGAGCGUUUCCUUUCCCUCUUUUGG